rnacentral:misc_RNA from 1 species
UCCGAGUUAUCCCCGGCAGUCUCCCAUGAGUCCCCACCAUUACGUGCUGGCAACUAAGGACAAGGGUUGCGCUCGUUGCGGGACUUAACCCAACAUCUCACGACACGAGCUGACGACAACCAUGCACCACCUGUGUACCGCCCCGAAGGACACCGUAUCUCUACGGCUUUUCGGUACAUGUCAAGCCCAGGUAAGGUUCUUCGCGUUGCCUCGAAUUAAGCCACAUGCUCCGCCGCUUGUGCGGGCCCCCGUCAAUUCCUUUGAGUUUUAGCCUUGCGGCCGUACUCCCCAGGUGGGGUACUUAAUGCGUUAGCUUCGGCACGGAUGGAGUCGACACCACCCACACCUAGCACCCAUCGUUUACGGCGUGGACUAC